ensembl:lncRNA
CAUAGGGUGGCAACUGCCACCCCUAGAAGAUGCCUUGCCACCCCGGCUGCCACCCCAGUUCUGAACGAUCUAAUUCAAAAAUAUGUAUAUGAAAGGCUGUGGCCGGCCGUAAAGAGCGAAAGUCCAGGAAAGACGAAUAACGAGUGAAACUCCGAUGUCCGAGUGCUUUCGAACGCACCAUGUUGACGUCACGUCCUGUACAGUCUAUGCUGCUACAGAUACGAGGCGACACGACCCCCCUGAGGGAGCUGCUCUUAGACCUCACUCAUGUGGAUGACAGCUGGACUUCGGUGUGGCCGGCAAAACGUGACAAGUGAAAGUAGCAGUUCCUCCUUAAGGUCAGAGAUUGCAGCAUCUGAGGGCCUCUUCAAAAGAAGAUGUAGUUGAUGAAGGCGUUCUGGAGCAGGACCAGAAAGACCACGACCAAGCAGCCUUGAGAUCUUAGGCAGCGUCUCCCUCAGACAUCCACCAACCACUGGAACACAUCUCCAAAGUUCUGCCGGGCCAGCUCAGCUUCCCCUCAGAAGAAGUGCAGCCACCUGCCAGAUGAAGGAGCCUUUUGAGAGGCAGCUGGCAUCGUGAUUGGACUGUACUUUGGUCUGUUCCAGUCCAGCUUCAGCUCCAGAGACGGCAGGCGGGACGAGUCAACGGAGGCCGGGUGGACGAAGACCAAAGAACUACAGACUCUUCACAACCUGCUCAAACUCUUGGUACAGGACCUCACCACACGGGUCAAAGUUUCCUUCUCAUUUCUACUCUGAAGAUCACCUUCUCCUGCUCAAACUGCUGACAAAUGUUUCUGCUGCUCUAAAGUCUGGUCUCCAGAACUUCCUAAAAACUCUCAAAGUCUCUUCUGCUGCAGGUUGCUUUGUAGAACUGUUGCAGAAAACCUCACUAAACCACAUGGAGGGGCCUCAAGAUAGUUGUCCAAAUGAAACCAUACAAAAACCAAACUAGCACAACCCAAACGCUAAAGUCUCCUGCAGCCGACCAGAGAACCUCCGAGAACAGAGAAUCAGGACAGGAACUCUUACCUUCUGGACAACCAACGCUGGUUCUCAAACAAGAAUACAGAAUGUGUCUGACCAAAAAACUCUAAAGACUCACUACAGCCAAGAUAAAGACACAACUCAGCUGCACCAAAUCCACUAAUCACUGCACACAUUAGCACCAUGUGCUAACUGUGGCUAUAGAACCACAUUUACCAAGACAACUAUCCAGUACAAAGUCCUAAAACACACCAAGAAACACAUUAAAGACGAUUUUACUGCUGGAAGCUGCAAGCCAACGCCUAAAGAACAAACUACAGCAAUGGAGCCAAACCCGGUUCUGUGGUGAAGAGAAGCAGAGGAAAUGUUUGUCUGCAGCUAAAUAAAGCAGGAAGACACUGAGCUGCUCAGGUGUUCCUGAUAACACCAAGCUGCUCAGGUGUUCCUGAUAACACCAAGCAGCCACCUGGACAGCCAAUAGGAACACAGCUUACUGGAAGUCCAGAGGGCUGGGUUAGUGAAGGAAAUUUAGUUUAAAGUUGAGGCAGAAAGUUAACAAAGAAAGUUGAAAACCACCUUCUGAUCCCU